rnacentral:lncRNA from 1 species
AAAUAUGCCCUAGAGGCAAUAAUAAAGUUAUUAUUUAUUUCCUUAUAUCAUGAUAAAUGUUUAUUAUUCAUGCUAGAAUUGUAUUAACCCGAAACAUAAUACAUGUGUGAAUACAUAGACAAACAUAGUGUCACUAGUAUGCCUCUACUUGACUAGCUUGUUGAUCAAAGAUGGUUAUGUUUCCUAGCCAUAGACAUGAGUUGUCAUUUGAUUAACGGGAUCACAUCAUUAGGAGAAUGAUUUGAUUGGCUUGACCCAUUCCGUUAGCUUAGCACACGAUUGUUUAGUAUUCUGCUAUUGCUUUCUUCAUGACUUAUACAUGUUCCUAUAACUAUGAGAUUAUGCAACUCCCGUUUACCAGAGGAACACUUUGUGUGCUACCAAACGUCACAACGUAACUGGGUGAUUAUAAAGGUGCUCUACAAGUGUCUCCGAAGGUACUUGUUGGGUUGGCGUAUUUCGAGAUUAGGAUUUGUCACUCCGAUUGUCGGAGAGGUAUCUCUGGGCCCACUCGGUAAUGCACAUCACUAUAAGCCUUGCAAGCAUUGCAACUAAUGAGUUAGUUGCUGGAUGAUGUAUUACGGAACGAGUAAAGAGACUUGUCGAUAACGAGAUUGAACUAGGUAUUGAGAUACCGACGAUCGAAUCUCGGGCAAGUAACAUACCGAUGACAAAGGGAACAACGUAUGUUGUUAUGCGGUCUGACCGAUAAAGAUCUUCGUAGAAUAUGUGGGAGCCGAUAUGAGCAUCAAGGUUCCGCUAUUGGUUAUUGACCGGAGACGUGUCUCGGUCAUGUCUACAUAGUUCUCGAACCCGUAGGGUCCGCACGCUUAAUGUUUGAUGAGGGUUAUAUUAUGAGUUUAUGUGAUUUGAUGUACCGAAGGUAGUUCGCAGUCCCGGAUGAGAUUGGGGACAUGACGAGGAGUCUCGAAAUGGUCGAGACGUAAAGAUCGAUAUAUUGGACGACUAUAUUCGGACAUCGGAAAGGUUCCGAGUGAUUCGGGUAUUUUUGGAGUACCGGAGAGUUACGGGAAUUCGCCGGGGAGUAUAUGGGCCUUAUUGGGCUUUAGGGGAAAGAGAGAGGAGAGGCUGCGCGCCCCCUCAAGGCCUAGUCCGAAUUGGACUAGGGGGAGGGGCUGCGCCCCCAGCCCCCUCCUUCCUUCUCUUCUCUUUCCCCUUUCCUUGACUCCUACUCCUACUACUUGGAAGGGGGGAAUCCUACUCCCGAUGGGAGUAGGACUCCUCCUAGGGCGCGCCAUAGAGAGGGCCGGCCCUCCCCCUCCUCCACUCCUUUAUAUACGGGGAGGGGGCACCCCUUGGAGACACAACAAUUGAUCUCUUAGCCGUGUGCGGUGCCCCCCUCCACCAUAAUCCACCUCGAUAAUAUCGUAGCGGUGCUUAGGCGAAGCCCUGCGUCGGUAGAACAUCAUCAUCGUCACCACGUCGUCGUGCUGACGGAACUCUCCCUCAAAGCUCGGCUGGAUCGGAAUUCGAGGGACGUCAUCGAGCUGAACGUGUGCUGAACUCGGAGGUGCCGUGCGUUCGGUACUUGAUCGGUCGGAUCGUGAAGACGUACGGCUACAUCAACCGCGUUGUGCUAACGCUUCCGCUUUCGGUCUACGAGGGUACGUGGACACACUCUCCCCUCUCGUUGCUAUGCAUCACCAUGAUCUUGCGUGUGCGUAGAAAUUUUUUGAAAUUACUACGUUCCCCAACAGUGGCAUCCGAGCAUGGUUUUAUGCGUAGAUGUUAUAUGCACGAGUAGAACACAAGUGAGUUGUGGGCGAUAUAAGUCAUACUGCUUACCAGCAUGUCAUACUUUGGUUCGGCGGUAUUGUUGGAUGAAGCGGCCCGGACCGACAUUACGCGUACGCUUACGCGAGACUGGUUUUACCGCCGUGCUAUGCACACAGGUGACUAGCGGGUGUCAGUUUCUCCAACUUUAGUUGAACCGAGUGUGGCUACGCCCGGUCCUUGCGAAGGUUAAAACAGCACCAACUUGACAAACUAUCGUUGUGGUUUUGAUGCGUAGGUAAGAACGGUUCUUGCUCAGCCCGUAGCAGCCACGUAAAACUUGCAACAACAAAGUAGAGGACGUCUAACUUGUUUUUGCAGGGCAUGUUGUGAUGUGAUAUGGUCAAGACGUGAUGAGAUAUAAGUUGUUGUAUAAGAUGAUCAUGUUUUGUUGAAGUUAUCGGCAACUGGCAGAAGCCUUAUGGUUGUCUCUUUAUUGCAUAAGAUGCAAGCGCCAAAUAAUUGCUUUACUUUAUCGCUAUGCGAUAGCAAUAGUUGCAAGAGCAAUAGUUGGCGAGACGACCAUGUGACGGCACAUUGAUAUAGAUCAAGAUGAUGGAGAUCAUGGUGUCAUGCCGGUGACGAUGGAAAUCAUGACGAUGCUUUGAAGAUGGAGAUCAAAGGCACAAGAUGAUGAUGGCCAUAUCAUGUCACAUAUUUUGAUUGCAUGUGAUGUUUAUCUUUUAUAAAUCUUAUUUUGCUUAGUUCGACGGUAGCUUUAUAAGAUGAUCUCUCACUAAUUAUCAAGGUACAAGUGUUCUCCCUGAGUAUGCACCGUUGCGAAAGUUCUACGUGCUGAGACACCACGUGAUGAUAGGGUGUGAUAGGCUCUACGUUCAAAUACAACGGGUGCAAAACAGUUGCACACGCGGAAUACUCAGGUUAAACUUGACGAGCCUAGCAUAUAACAGAUAUGGCCUCGGAACACUGAGACCGAAAGGUCGAGCGUGAAUCAUAUAGUAGAUAUGAUCAACAUAGUGAUGUUCACCAUUGAAACUACUCCAUCUCACGUGAUGAUCGGACAUGGUUUAGUUGAUAUGGAUCACGUGAUCACUUAGAGGAUUAGAGGGAUAUCUAUCUAAGUGGGAGUUCUUAAGUAAUAUGAUUAAUUGAACUUAAAUUUAUCAUGAACUUAGUCCUGGUAGUAUUAGCAUAUCUAUGUUGUAGAUCAAUAGCUCGCGUUUAGCUCCCCUGUUUUAUUUUUUAUAUGUUCCUAGAGAAAACUAAGUUGAAAGAUGUUAGUAGCAAUGAUGCGGAUUGGAUCCCUGAUCUGAGGUUUAUCCUCAUUGCUGUACAGAAGAAUUAUGUCCUUGAUGCACCGCUAGGUGACAAACCUAUUGCAGGAGCAGAUACAGAUGUUAUGAACGUUUGGCUAGCUCAAUAUGAUGACUACUUGAUAGUUUAGUGCACCAUGCUUAAACGGCUUAGAAUCGGGACUUCAAAGACGUUUUGAACGUCAUGGACCAUAUGAGAUGUUCCAGGAGUUGAAGUUAAUAUUUCAAGCAAAUACCCGAGUUGAGAGAUAUGAAGUCUCCAACAAGUUCUAUAGCUAAAAGAUGGAGGAGAAUAGCUCAAGCAGUGAGCAUGUGCUCAGAUUGUAUGGGUACUACAAUCGCUUGAAUCAAGUGGGAGUUAAUCUUCCAGAUAAAAUAGUGCUUGACAGAAUUCUCUAGUCACCAUCACCAAGUUAGUAGAACUUCGUGAUGAACUAUAAUAUGCAAGGGAUAACGAAAAUGAUUCCCAAGCUCUUCGUGAUGCUGAAAUCGACGAAGGUAGAAAUCAAGAAAGAGCAUCAAGUGUUGAUGAUUAACAAGACCACUAGUUUCAAGAAAAGGGCAAAGGGAAAGAAAGGGAACUUCAUGUAGAACGGCAAGCAAGUUGCUGCUCAAGUGAAGAAGCCCAAAUUUGGACCUAAGCCUGAGACUGAGUGCUUCUACUGCAAAAGUACUGGUCACUGGAAGCAGAACUACCCCAAAUAAUUGGCGGAUAAGAAGGAUGGCAAAGUGAACAAAAGUAUAUUUGAUAUACAUGUUAUUGAUGUGUACUUUACUAGUGUUUAUAGAAACCCCUUAGUAUUUGAUACUGGUUUAGUUGCUAAGAGUAGUAACUUAAAACAGGAGUUGCAAAAUGAACAGAGACUAGUUAAGGAUGUAGUGACGAUGUGUGUUGGAAGUAGUUCCAAGAUUGAUGUGAUCAUCAUCGCACAAUCCAUAUAACUUUCGGGAUUAGUGUUGAACCUAAAUAAAUGUUAUUUGGUGUUUGCGUUGAGCAUGAAUAUGAUUUGAUCGUGUUUAUUGCAAUACGGUUAUUCAUUUAAGUUAGAGAAUAAUUGUUGUUCUAUUUACAUGAAUAAAACCUUCUAUGGUCAUACACCCAAUGAAAAUGGUUUGUUGGAUCUCGAUCGUAGUAAUACACAUAUUCAUAAUAUUGAAGCCAAAAGAUGCAAAGUUAAUAAUGAUAGUGCAACUCAUUUGUGGCACUGCCGUUUAGGUCAUAUUGGUGUAAAGCGCAUGAAGAAACUCCAUGCUGAUGGGAUUUUGGAAUCACUUGAUUAUGAAUCACUUGAUGCUUGCGAACCAUGCCUUAUGGGAAAGAUGACUAAAAACUCCGUUCUCCGGAACAAUGGAGCGAGCAAUAGACUUGUUGGAAAUAAUACAUACUGAUGUAUGCAGUUCGAUGAGUGUUGAGGCUCGCGGCAGGUAUCGUUAUUUUCUGACCUUCAUAGAUGAUUUGAGCAGAUAUGGGUAUAUCUACUUGAUGAAACAUAAGUCUGAAACAUUUGAAAAAAGUUCAAAGAAUUUCAGAGUGAAGUGGAAAAUCAUCGUAACAAGAAAAAUAAAGUUUCCACGAUCUGAUCGCGGAGACGAAUAUUUGAGUUACGAGUUUGAUCUUCAAUUAAAACAAUGUGGAAUAGUUUCACAAACUCAUGCCACCUGGAACACCACAGCUUAAUGGUGUGUCCGAACAUCGUAACCGUACUUUAUUUGAUAAUGGUGCGAUCUAUGAUGUCUCUUACCGAUUUAACACUAUCAUUUUGGGGUUAUGCAUUAGAGACAGCUGCAUUCACGUUAAAUUGGGCACCAUCUAAAUCCGUUGAGAUGACACCGGAUGAACUGUGGUUUAGCAAGAAACCAAAGUUGCCGUUUCUUAAAGUUUGGGGUUGUGAUGCUUAUAUGAAAAAGUUUCAUCCUGAUAAGCUCAAACCCAAAUCGGAGAAUUGUGCCUUCAUAGGAUACCCAGAGGAGACUGUUGGGUACACCUUCUAUCACAGAUCCGAAGGCAAGACUUUUGUUGCUAAAUUUGGAUCCUUUCUAGAGAAGGAGUUUCUCUCGAAAGAAGUGAGUGGGAGGAAAGUAGAACUUGAUGAGGUAACUGUACCUGCUCCCUUAUUGGAAAGUAGUUCAUCACAGAAAUCUGUUCCUGUGACUACUACACCAAUUAGUGAGGAAGCUAAUGAUGAUGAUCAUGUAACUUUAGAUCAAGUUACUACCGAACCUCGUAGGUAAACCAGCGUGAGAUCCACACCAGAGUGGUACGGUAAUCCUGUUCUGGAGGUCAUGUUUCUUGACCAUGACGAACCUACGAACUAUGAGGAAGCGAUGAUGAGCCCAGAUUUCGCGAAAUGGCUUGAGGCCAUGAAAUCUGAGAUGAGAUCCAUGUAUGAGAACAAAGUAUGGACUUUGAUUGACUUGCCCAAUGAUCGGCGAGCCAUUGAGAUUAUAUGGAUCUUCAAGAGGAAGACGGACGCUGAUAGUAGUGUUACUAUCUACAAAGUUAGAAUUGUCGCAAAAGGUUUUCGACAAGUUCAAGGUGUUGACUGCGAUGAAAGUUUCUCGCUCGUAUCUAUGCUUAAGUCUGUCCGAAUCUGUUAGCAAUUGCCGCAUUUUAUGAAAUCUGGCAAAUGGAUAAACAAAACUGCAUUCCUUAAUGAAUUUAUUAAAGAAGAGUUGUAUAUGAUGCAACCAGAAGGUUUUGUCAAUCCUAAAGGUGCUAACAAAAUAUGCAAGCUCCAGCGAUCCAUCUAUGGACUGGUGCAAGCAUCUCGGAGUUGGAAUAUACACUUUGAUGAGUUGAUCAAAGCAUAUAAUUUUAUACAGACUUGCGGUGAAGCCUGUAUUUACAAGAAAGUGAGUGGGAGCACUACAACAUUUCUGAUAAGUAUACGUGAAUGACAUAUUGUUGAUCGGAAAUAAUGUAGAAUUAUUCAGCAAAGCAUAAAGGAGUGUUUGAAAGGAGUUUUUCAAAGAAAGACCUCGGUGAAGCUGCUUACAUAUUGAGCAUCAAGAUCUAUAGAGAUGGUCAAGACACUUGAUAAGUUUUUCAAUGAGUACACACCUUGACAAGAUUUUGAAGUAGUUCAAAAUGGAACAGUCAAAGAAAGAGUUCUUGCCUGUGUUACAAGGUGUGAAAUUGAGUAAGACUCAAAGCCCGACCACGGCAGAAGAUAGAAAGAGAAUGAAAGUCAUUCCCUAUGCCUUGGCCAUAGGUUCUAUAAAGUAUGCCAUGCUGUGUACCAGAUCUAUUGUAUACCCUACACUGAUUUUGGCAAGGGAGUACAAUAGUGAUCUAGGAGUAGAUCACUGGACAGCGGUCAAAAUUAAUUAUCCUUAGUGGAAUAAGGAUAUGUUUCUCGAUUAUGGAGGUGACAAAAAGGGUUCGUCGUAAAGGGUUACGUCAAUGCAAAUUUUGACACUGAUCCAGAUGACUCUAAGUCUCAAUUUGGAUACAUAUUGAAAGUGGGAGCAAUUAGCUAGAGUAGCUCCGUGCAGAGCAUUAUAGACAUAGAAAUUUGCAAAAUACUUACGGAUCUGAAUGUGACAAACCCGUUGACUAAAAUUAUCUCACAAGCAAAACAUGAUCACACCUUAGUACUCUUUGGGUGUUAAUCACAUAGCGAUGUGAACUAGAUUAUUGACUCUAGUAAACCCUUUGGGUGUUGGUCACAUGACGAUGUGAACUAUGGGUGUUAAUCACAUGGUGAUGUGAACUAUUGAUGUUAAAUCACAUGGCGAUGUGAUCUAGAUUAUUGACUCUAGUGCAAGUGGGAGACUGAAGGAAAUAUACCCUAGAGGCAAUAAUAAAGUUAUUAUUUAUUUCCUUAUAUCAUGAUAAAUGUUUAUUAUUCAUGCUAGAAUUGUAUUAACCGGAAACAUAAUACAUGUGUGAAUACAUAGACAAACAUAGUGUCACUAAUAUGCCUCUACUUGACUAGCUCGUUGAUCAAAGAUGGUUAUGUUUCCUAGCCAUAGACAUGAGUUGUCAUUUGAUUAACGGGAUCACAUCAUUAGGAGAAUGAUGUGGUUGACUUGACCCAUUCCGUUAGCUUAGCACACGAUCGUUUAGUAUUCUGCUAUUGCUUUCUUCAUGACUUAUACAUGUUCCUAUGACUAUGAGAUUAUGCAACUCCUGUUUACCAGAGGAACACUUUGUGUGCUACCAAACAUCACGACGUAACUGGGUGAUUAUAAAUGUGCUCUACAAGUGUCUCCGGAGGUACUUGUUGGGUUGGCGUAUUUCGAGAUUAGGAUUUGUCACUCCGAUUGUCGGAGAGGUAUCUCUGGGCCCACUCGGUAAUGCACAUCACUAUAAGCCUUGCAAGCAUUGCAACUAAUGAGUUAGUUGCGGGAUGAUGUAUUACGGAACGAGUAAAGAGACUUGCCGAUAACGAGAUUAAAAUAGGUAUUGAGAUACCGACGGUCGAACCUCGAGCAAGUAACAUACCGAUGACAAAGGGAACAACGUAUGUUGUUAUGCGGUCUGACCGAUAAAGAUCUUCGUAGAAUAUGUGGGAGCCAAUAUGAGCAUCAAGGUUCUGCUAUUGGUUAUUGACCGGAGACGUGUCUCGGUCAUGUCUACAUAGUUCUCGAACCCGUAGGGUCCGCACGCUUAAAGUUCAAUGACGGUUAUAUUAUGAGUUUAUGUGAUUUGAUGUACCGAAGGUAGUUCGGAGUUCCGGAUGAGAUUGGGGACAUGACGAGGAGUCUCGAAAUGGUCGAGAUGUAAAGAUCGAUAUAUUGGACGACUAUAUUCGGACAUCGGAAAGGUUCCGAGUGAUUCGGGUAUUUUUCGGAGUACCGGAGAGUUACGGGAAUUCGCCGGGGAGUAUAUGGGCCUUAUUGGGCUUUAGGGGAAAGAGAGAGGAGAGGCUGCACGCCCCCCCAAGGCCUAGUCCGAAUUGGACUUGGGGGAGGGGCUGCGCCCCCUCCUUCCUUCUCUUCUUUUUCCCCUUUCCUUGACUCCUACUCCUACUACUUGGAAGGGGGGGAAUCCUACUCUCGGUGGGAGUAGGACUCCUCCUAGGGCGCGUCAUAGAGAGGGUCGGCCCUCCCCCUCCUCCACUCCUUUAUAUACGGGGAGGGGGCACCCCUUGGAGACACAACAAUUGAUCUCUUGAUCUCUUAGCCGUGUGCGGUGCCCCCCUCCAUCAUAAUCCACCUCGAUAAUAUCGUAGCGGUGCUUAGGCAAAGCCCUGCGUCGGUAGAACAUCAUCAUCGUCACCACGCCGUCGUGCUGACGGAACUCUCCCUCAAAGCUCGGCUGGAUCGGAGUUCGAGGGACGUCGCUGAGCUGAACGUGUGCUGAACUCGGAGGUGCCGCGCGUUCGGUACUUGAUCGGUCGGAUCGUGAAGACGUACGGCUACAUCAAACGCGUUGUGCUAACGCUUCCGCUUUCGGUCUACGAGGGUACGUGGACACACUCUCCCCUCUCGUUGCUAUGCAUCACCAUGAUCUUGCGUGUGCGUAGGAAAUUUUUGAAAUUACUACGUUCCCCAACACAUAAUGCAUUUCUUUGCUUUUCAACAACAUUGAAUACAAAAGACAUCAUCAAAUCUUUGCUAGAAUAGCAAGACCAAAGAAAACAAGAACCACAAGUAUGCAUUUCAGAAGAUUUCCAACUUCCAUAACUGCUUGCACAAGUUGGACUAAUAUCUUCUCCAUGCAUUCAUUGUUUAUCUGCAGAUUCUUGAUUUUGCAUUCUUCUUUCUUCAACUUUGGUCCGAAAGAAGUAGAUGUUGCUUCCCCUCUAGUUGCACAUGCAGCCGCAUCAUUGCCUUCGAUUGUACUAUCUAUUAAGUUUCUUUCUAUCAAUAAAUCAAUGUAUUGGCCUUCCCAAAACCAAAAUGAGCAUCCAUCGUCCUACACAAAAGAAUGAGCAAGUUCGAAGUAAGCUACCGCAAUUGAACUAAAGAAUGAGCUAUCAAAUGAGCUACCGCAAGUGCACGUAUCCCGUCGUUUUCGCAUUUGAAGAACACCCAUCCGGGGUGCUUCGGCGUGCCCGAAGUUAGCCGUAACACUUUUCGCGUGCAGUCGUCGCACUGUAUGAGCGGCAUCGACAAGCCACAGAGACGCCGCGCGAGCGCCGAGCUUGGUGGACGGCCGGACAAAUCCAUGCCCGCAAACCGUUGGCGGCGGCGGGCGGACGAACCCGUACCUACAUGCGGUGAUGCGCCCUUGCCGAGGCUGCGGGAGAGGCUCCCCGACCACUCCAUCGCUUGGCGCAACAACCGGCAGCCGAAAAAGCUAAAUCCGGCGGUCCGUGAUGAAGUGCCACAGAUCCGGUGGCCCGCCGACGCAGAGGGGAGGGAGGGGAGGCCUCGUGCGCGUGGCGGCCUUUCGGCGUGCUCCUGCAGUCUGCUUUCGCCGGAAUCUUGGGCGGCGGCGCAAGGGGAGGAGGAGAGGUGGUUGGUGGGGAAAGCGCGGGCUGAAAUGUCCCCCCACCAACCGCUUCCACUUAUAUGCAGGGCACCGCAGCCGCGAGGGGGAAACCCGCGUAUUCUCGGGUUGGGGUCGGGAUUUUGCUGCGCCCCUCAAAAUUUUUUGCGGGCCAGGGCGGAAUGUGGGGUCUGAUCGGGCUGGUUUUUCCGCCCCGGCCCGCAUUUUGACGGUUAUUUUGCGGGUCGGGGCGGGAUGCGGGGUGUGCUAGAAUUGCUCUUUAAUGACCCAAAAGCUUUGGUUACGCGAUUACUACCGGUUAACAUUUCUAAGGCAACCCCACGAAACUUCGUUCCAUCUCUGCGAGAUCUGCCGUGCUUCUCCCCUUGCUCCCCGUACCGACUCCCGGUUCUUUUCUCCGGUUCCUCGGCGAUGGUCGUCUGCAAAUGCCGCAAGGUUACUUCUUGAUCAUUUCUCCACCUAUUCGGCGAUGCCCCUGCGGUCUCCUGCGUGUUCUUUCUGUUGCGCGUCGACAUGUGAGGGGGGAUUUUGGAUCUGGGCAGGGGAAGUACGCGGUGGCGGAUUUGGCGUUCGCGUGGCCUGGAUCUGAGAGGGCACUGCGAGCGCGGAUUCGAAAUUUUAGUUUGGGGUUCUUGGAUUUACUGCUGGCGUGUUGAGAUUUGUCAGUGCUGCCUGAAUUUUGUGUUGACAGGGCGUGUGUGCUUGCUUUGGAUUUUCAGGCGACGAGGGUUUAUUGCUUCGUCCACCAGGUUCCGGUCUGUGGCGAGUGCAUCUGCUUCCCAGAACAUCAAUUAUGCGUGGUGAGCUUUCCGACUUGAUCCCCUCAUCCCAAUUAACUCAGAAAAAGGCAAAGCGGUUAAUAUGUGCUUGCUCAAUGUGCUCCAUCCUGUUUAGUGUCUAUAGUGUAUCACAAGUUUGUCUCUCAUGUUAGCUGUUGUAUAUUGGCAUUAAGCUUGCUGGACAUGAGUGCCCUUUCAAAUAUAUUGUUUCGCAUAUGCUUUGAAAUGUGCUAGUAAUAUAGGUUUGUAAUGUGAAAUAUACUUGUUUACAGUGUGAUAGAAGAUUGGAUCACAUGUGAGUACUGUUUAACAAAUAGCUGCUGAGACAACAUUUUUAUGCCUGGUGCUGCUGCUAGAGUAUCAUAUUUUUUACAAUGCAUUGGCUCUUAGUGCGCUCUCUUACGAGAUGGUAGUUUUUAGAGACAACUACCCCAAUGCAUUGUAUCUUACAUAUGCUUAAUAUUGGAGUAGCCCCCAUUUUUAUUAAGAUACUUGACUUUUAUUGGAUGAUACUAUAAGAAUGAUAUAUGUGUUGGAUUCCGUGUAGAGAUGGGUUCUUAGAUAAGAGAUGGUUCCAUCAUCUCUUGUCAAUAAUUAUGAAUUACAUAGACAAAAAUCUGAUGUGUGAUGCUAAGAGAGCCUACGUAGGGCAUUGGGAGAGACCUGACUAUAAGUUAGAUCCAUCUUUUUUUUCCUCUCUAGUUUGGCCCUAUAACAGAUUCACAGCCCUACAAUUUCCACCUCCACUUUCUUACUGAAACAUUUGGAAUUCAUUAUUGUUGCUUAGUCCUAUUGCUGCACCUAUGCUGUAAAAUUUUGUGACACCAUAUAUGUGCAUGCUAUGAUCAUAUCAUUUUCCUGUUCUGUUUAUUUUGCGUGAAGAGAAAUUUAAUAAUCACAUGUAAGUAUAUAACGUUGCUAUUGGCUUCAUAUCAGCUACUUGCAUUAUAUUCUUACAAUUCUGUUAAAGUAAUCGUGUAACAUUAAUUUUACAAAACUAAUAUCCUCUUUUUUACUUUCUGUAGGUAAAAAACUAUGCUGAAUGGGUUGUUAAUUCUGAUUAUGACUGGCCACAACACUGUUCUUUGUGUAAUUUGGUUCUAGAAGCUGCAAGUGAAGAAACUACACGAUUGGGUUGCCUCCGUAUGUAUUGCUUCAAGUAGAAUAUUUGAAUCCAUUCGUCUCUUGGAGCCACCUUCACUAAAUAUAACACGAUAUAUUUUGUCUUCUUGACAUCUUUUAGAUGUGAUGCACACAAAAUGCUUGAUAUCACAUGUCCAAAGUUUUCCUGCACAAACAGCACCAGCAGGAUUUGUCUGCCCCUCAUGUUCAAUUCCUGUAAGCUAAUCUCUGGCUUGAUAUGCUAUUACUUUGAGGUUCCAACAGUUCUUUUAACCUUAACAUGUGACAUAGUUAUUUCCUGACAGAUAUGGCCUCCUUCGAGUAUUAAAGAUACAGGCUCCAGCCUCCAUGCUAAACUGAAGGAAGCAGUAGUCCAGGUUAGUCCUUCAAAUCAGUUCCUUCUUGCAAGAUCAAAACCACUAAUUUUCCUUGAAUUUUUCCCUUUGUUUUUAUUUGUGCGAAUAAAUUCUUCUUUGGUGCACUAUGACACAUUUACCUAUGAACUACGACUCUUUUAGCUAAGUAUAUUUACUGCACUGUUUGACAAAGCUUGCACUUUGUAACAUGUCGCAGACUGGUCUGGAGAAGAAUGUAUUUGGGAAUCAUUUUGUGACAAUGCCUAAAGCUGAUGCCUGCACACCCCCUACAUUUGCUUCAGACCCCCUUAAGCGUCUAUCAUAUUCUGGUGAAUCUACUGAUGCAAACAUGCUUAACUCUUCGAAAGAUGCAACUUUAUCAUCAGCAGUACUCUCCCAGGGGGAUACAUAUCCUGCUGGGAUGUACUCUUCUGGGACUCUUAGCCAUGUGGAACCAGAAAUAGUUGAAAUAGAUGGUCCUAGUACCAUAGCAACAAAGUUCCCAGAGCAGGAGCCCAAUUUCAUCAGAAGUCCAAGCCCGCACGGGGUAAGUCAUGACAUAUCCUUGUGUAUAUGGUUAGCGUCUGUUUGUUUUCUGUUCACCUUAAGCAGAGUUAGUGAUCCUAUUCCUUCGUUAUGUAGCCUAGUGCCACGACAAGAAAAGGUGCUAACUAUGUUGAGAGACAAAAUUCAGAGAUGUCUUAUUAUGCUGAUGAUGAAGAUGCAAACCGCAAAAAGUACACUAAAAGGGGUAAGAAUGCCAUUAUCAAAAAAUCUAUUUUCUACUUCCGUCUUUAUGUCAGGUCCUUCUUUUCUUGAGUUAUACCGAGCUUUUGUCAUAAGAUUAUUUGAUUUUUCCCCAAUAUUUGAGGUGACAUUUCUGUCUCAAAUUAGUUGCCAAACACUAGUCAUGUUUCCAAUCACCCACAAAAUAAUUACUAUUUUAUUUAUCUCAGUUUGAUGUGUUAACCUCGUCUUCUACCACCCCUCUUACAAUACACCUCUAUUCCCAGGGCUGUGAUACAUCUAACAUGAAAUGUACAUGUAUAUAUAUGCUGGAAAUGCAUAAGACUAUUUAGAUUGGUUCAUAUGUAACUAGUCAAUUCUAGGUGGAACAUUUAUUUCAAAAGAUGGUUGUGCUUGUUUCUUAUGAAGCUUCAGUUUACAGGUACAUACCGUCACAAAUUUUUAAGGAUGCUGCUACCUUUUUGGUCUAGUGCCCUGCCAACAUUACCAGUUACAGCACCCCCUAAAAAGGAAAAUGAUGCUCCAGAAGGCCGGUCACGACAUCAGAGGACGUCACGAAUCGAUCCCACAAAGAUCUUACUUGCAAUGGCAAUCAUGUAAGGUUUCUGCCAUGCAAUUGUUUUAGCCUCUGACUAAUAUUCUCCUGCAAUGGAUCUUAAUUUCGUGAAGUAAUGUUCAAAACGGAUAUUACAUGGCUGAAGUUUUAUUACUGUAUUAUGGAAGAUGUAAUACAUUCAGAAGUAAAUGAUUAUUUUGUGCUUUGAAUAUAUAAGAUGGCCAGCACUGUUAGUUUUCCCCCUUGAUUCAUCUGGGUCUCUGUUUGAGUGGCCUCCUACCCAUAUUUCUAGCAAAUUUGAGGGAAAUAACCAGAAAUUGGUACUCGCAGUAUUAUGUUUUUAAUUUGAGUUCUGUACAAUCAGCAAGGUUGCUAGCUGUGCAAUUUGAUUUUUUUUUUCUUUAGAGAUGUUGCACCAUUUAUUAUCAGAGUGUUCGUCUAUGAGUAUGAUAUCCAUUUCUAUAUUCUUGAUUUUAUGUGUAUAAAUAAAUAGAUAUGUCUGUUCCUUCAUUCUGUUAGCUUGAUUUGUGACAUAGCAAGCAGUUCUGUGUGUCUUAGAUGCGAGUCCUGUAAAGCUAAUAGUCUGUCUAAUGAAAAACUUUAAGAUGUGUUUCAUUUCCUUAUUUUAAUUUUGCCUUUUAGUUUGUGUUGGAUGCAAAGAUUUUAUUAUUCUUGAUUUAAUUAACCUGCAUUAAUGUGCUGUUAAUGCAGGGCAUGUAUAGCAACGAUGGGAAUUCUCUACUACCGGUUGUCGCAGCGCAGUCUUUCUGAAAACUUUGCCCAUGAUGAGGCUCAGUAGUAGAGUUGAAACUUCCAACUUGCAGUUUGUUUCUGGUACUGCCUUGCUGCUGAUUCAAGGGUUUUACCCUGCCUGUAUUAUUUUCCAUUUCCCCCUUUUUGGGCCUUUCAGGGUGGUUGUGGAUGGGAAGGUGGAGGUAGUGAUUAUAGUUACAUAAGAGUUAUAGCAGACUGGUUUUAUAUGCUGAUUCAUCUGUUAUCUUAUACCAGACGGGAAAUUGUUGAAGUUGUCAACUAUUUUCUUAUUCCUGUUGUCGCGCCUUCUGAACUGCUACAGGUGUUACUUUGAUCGAGCCAUUCUAAAACAUCGCUGUGUUAUUUCUCCAGUAUUUUUCACUUGUCACGAUGAUGCUGGGAAAUUAUAGGCGUCUUAUGCACAACAUGGCAGGAGAUCAUGAUAUUCUUUUAGUUUGCAAACGCAGAUGCUGAUUAAUUUCAGCAGGAAUAAAAGUGCAACAAUUAUAUAUGACACAGAAAUGCAAUGUUGCCCGUAGCUACUUCCAUAAUAGCAAUACAUGUUGCAAAAAGUCACUUUGGAACCCGGGUGCAUUGGAGCCCUAUUUUUUGAACUGUGAAAAUGCUAUUUUGAAAUCCUGUAAAGCUAAUAGCAUUAUUCACUAUUUGGAGAUCAUCAUUUUGUCAUUUUUGUAUAGGUCGCAUAUUUACUUAUUUCAUCACCAAACUUUACACAUGUGUAAUAUACAUCUGUAUGAUCAUGUAGAAUUUUUUUCAGAAUUUUUUGAAACAUUAAAUGUGAUUUUCAAAGUAUUUAAAAUAAGGUCCUUCAAUACACCGGGUUCCAAAAAUCCGCUCUCUAUCUGUUGCAUAUAAGUAAAUUCAUAUAUAGUUCACGGGUGUUAUUUCUCCUCGCCAUGUUCUAAUUUCACUAUUGUUUGCAUUUUUUUGUCGGGUAGCUUACCAACCUGACCGCUUGGUCUAAUUUCACUCAUCGAAACAAAUAUUUUUUUUUAGAAAUGGCAGUUCAUCAAACUAAAUUGAUAUAUGACCUCUUACUACUUUCGAACAUUCAUCCCUUAUAGUCACAUGUAUCUGUUGGUGCUUGGCAAGAAGUCAUCUUUGUUAGUGACCUGCGUCCUCAGAGUGGGCCGGGUUGGAUGGAAGGACCCAACAGAUGGGCUUGGGAUGCUAACAUGGAGAAAGGAACAACACACUACUAAUAGGAUAUUCCUCAAAAAAAAACUACUAAUAGGAUUUUCUAAAAAAAAACUACUAAUAAGAUUGACUCCCCUCAAAAAGAAAAAAAACUAAUAGGAUUGUCUAAAAAAAAAGAAACUACUAAU